GAGGUGUGAUGAUACUGAGAAUGGUUUCGCAUGCUGGACUGAAAACAUGUGAUGUCAUGACUCUCUUGGCUAUCUGACCUA